rnacentral:rRNA from 1 species
UACAGAGGGUGCAAACGUUGUUCGGAAUUACUGGGCGUAAAGCGUGUGUAGGCGGUUUUGUAAGUCGGGCGUGAAAGCCCCGGGCUCAACCCGGGAAGUGCACUCGAUACUGCGGAACUUGAGUUUCGGAGAGGUUGGUAGAAUUCUUGGUGUAGAGGUGAAAUUCGUAGAUAUCAAGAGGAAUACCGGUGGCGAAGGCGGCCAACUGGACGAAAACUGACGCUGAGACACGAAAGCAUGGGGAGCAAACAGG